GGGGGCGUCACGGCUUCGACGGAGAUGCUUGCGGCCAAGAGGCAUGCCGGGGUGCACACACCCGUAAUCGCGUGCAAAACAACAAUUGCCAACCAAACACUGGCAUACGCAGCUUAAUUAAUUAAGUUGCCGUUCUCCGCAGCUUCGCCCGUGGGCUGCGAGCGAACGUCGAACUGCGGGCUGGUCUUCCCGGCUACGUCUGGGCUGGGAGGAUGAGACUUUCAGGCUA
rnacentral:tmRNA from 1 species